AACGAGGUUGUCGUCGAUGCUGGAUAGCUCAUCCUGCAUGACUGCUCCAAUCCAUAUGCCUGCAUCUCUUUGUGGGUGACUAAUUUUUUUAUGGGUUGGGCUACCAUAAUCAGAAGCAAAUGCAUGUGCUAUCUGAUCUGUAAUUCGUGGUUUUGGAAUGAAACAUUCGUACUUGAAUUAUUUGAAAGUGUUGGACCAAUACUUGAUGGUGAAGCAGCAUGGUGCCAUGUCAGAUACUGUUACUGACCCUCCUACGUGGCAAAGUUAGCAUCAAAAUUUCGCAAUUGUUUGAUUGUGAUACGAUCAACAUGGGAAUUGCUAUGCAUUGCUAAUGUUUUGGAUAGAAAUUCUUGCAGGUUGUCGGGUAUUCAAAGUGCAGCCUUUUUGUUCCAUGAUGUGAUGACGAGUUUUGUCCAUUGGAUUAGGGUUAUUGGUGUGGGUUCAGUUUAAUUGUGAUAGGGUCAACGUGGGAAAUGCUAUGCGUUGCAGAGGUUUUGGAUAGUUGUUAGAGGUAUGCAAAUUCCAGCCAUUUUAUUCCAUGAUCUGAUGAAGAGUUGCCUUUUGUCCAUUGGAUUAAGAUUAAUGCUUUGGGUUCAUUUAAAGUACAAUAUUUUAUUGUGCAUUUCUCUUGUAUGAUUUGUGUUCUGUUUGCUUUGGUUGGAACAAUCGUAGUUGUAAAGGUCGAUUGUUGUGACGGAGCGCAAAGGAAACGAAUGGUUGGAUUGAACUUGAAGAAUAGCCGAAAUUACCCUACACUUUUUGAUUGUCUCGUAUGUUACUUACAAAAAAAUGACCACCAGGGUUUAUUUUGUUUUCCGUAGCCAUAUUUCCCCAUUAAUGGCGAUAAAUCCGUAACAAGGAGGGGGGGGUAAUGAUGCGGUUAUCAACGGAGAAAGACGUUCAUUACGUGAUGGUUUGUUAAAUUCUACGGUAGUGUAGAAUUCUAGGUUUUCCUGGGAAGUGCCACUGCAAAUUUUAUUUUUUCAUAACUCUUGUCUGGCAUAUUUUAAUUGUACUUCUCUGCAUUGACAUAGUAUGUUCAUUUAUGGAAUUGUCAAUAAAACAAAUUAAAAUAA